AGCAGAGGAGGGAAACGCGGUACAGAGCCUGAGGACUGGGAAGGGAGCACCUGGGGUGCCCUGGGCCUCAAGCUUGGACUUCCAUGAUGCAACCUGAACUCCUCCAAGUAACGGAUGCGCAGGAAAGAACACAAUGAAAAGACGGCCAUCUGCAAACCAGGAAGUAGACCCGCACCCAAACCUGACCUUGCUGGCCCUGCGACCUCCAACUUCCCUCCCCCAGAACUGAGAGAAAUAAACGUCUAUGGUCAGUACCCACCCACACCCCCGGUUUGUGAUAUUUUUACAGCAGCCCAAGCUCGCAGAUCCCUGGAGGCGUAUUAAAACUUCGGCAGAGUUGUUUCCUUGUCUCUUCAGCAGAAGCAUAAGGGCCAUGUCAGCGGCCAUCUCCAACUCUUCCCUGGCUUUCCCAAAUAUCCCUGCUCUUCCGACACAGAACACCUUAGAGUUUACUGAGUUUAAUAAAGACGGUCAGAGUCUACCUGGCAGCGCGCCUCGGAGCCAGGGGCUGUGUUCCAGUCCCUUCCACUUGUUGCCGUGCUUGUCUGAGUUGAAAACCAAUCCAUGGUUGUUCCGUGGACGGGUUUUGUUCUUCACUCGUCUGAGGGCACAAUUAAGUCUCUGGAA